UACGGAGGGGGCUAGCGUUGUUCAGAAUUACUGGGCGUAAAGAGCUCGUAGGCGGUCUGUCGCGUCGGAUGUGAAAAUCCAGGGCUCAACCCUGGACCUGCAUUCGAUACGGGCAGACUAGAGUUCGGCAGGGGAGACUGGAAUUCCUGGUGUAGCGGUGAAAUGCGUAGAUAUCAGGAGGAACACCGGUGGUGUAGACGGCUCUCUGGACCGUAACUGACGCUGAGGCACGAAAGCCGUGGGUAGCAAACAGG
rnacentral:rRNA from 1 species